AUUGAACGCUGGCGGCAGGCCUAACACAUGCAAGUCGAGCGGAUGAGUGGAGCUUGCUCCAUGAUUCAGCGGCGGACGGGUGAGUAAUGCCUAGGAAUCUGCCUGGUAGUGGGGGACAACGUUUCGAAAGGAACGCUAAUACCGCAUACGUCCUACGGGAGAAAGCAGGGGACCUUCGGGCCUUGCGCUAUCAGAUGAGCCUAGGUCGGAUUAGCUAGUUGGUGAGGUAAAGGCCCACCAAGGCGACGAUCCGUAACUGGUCUGAGAGGAUGAUCAGUCACACUGGAACUGAGACACGGUCCAGACUCCUACGGGAGGCAGCAGUGGGGAAUAUUGGACAAUGGGCGAAAGCCUGAUCCAGCCAUGCCGCGUGUGUGAAGAAGGUCUUCGGAUUGUAAAGCACUUUAAGUUGGGAAGAAGGGCAGUAAGUUAAUACCUUGCUGUUUUGACGUUACCGACAGAAUAAGCACCGGCUAACUUCGUGCCAGCCGCCGCAGUAAUAC
rnacentral:rRNA from 1 species